rnacentral:rRNA from 1 species
AUGGACUAUCAACCCAUCAUCUCCGCUCUCGACGUCCGCACCGAGCCCAUCACGGUUGAUGGCCUCUUCUCCCUCAUGGCAAACUUCGACCAGCGCAUGGAGAUGUUCCAUGGCGCUGGCAAUGGUGGCUUCAAGUCCUCUGCCAACAUCGCCUUGCGGGGCCGUUCUGGUGGGAAUGGCGGCUACCGC